rnacentral:rRNA from 1 species
GAUGAACGCUGGCGGCGUGCCUAAUACAUGCCAGUCGAGCGAACGGACGAGAAGCUUGCUUCUCUGAUGUUAGCGGCGGACGGGUGAGUAACACGUGGAUAACCUACCUAUAAGACUGGGAUAACUUCGGGAAACCGGAGCUAAUACCGGAUAAUAUUUUGAACCGCAUGGUUCAAAAGUGAAAGACGGUCUUGCUGUCACUUAUAGAUGGAUCCGCGCUGCAUUAGCUAGUUGGUAAGGUAACGGCUUACCAAGGCAACGAUGAAUAGCCGACCUGAGAGGGUGAUCGGCCACACUGGAACUGAGACACGGUCCAGACUCCUACGGGAGGCAGCAGUAGGGAAUCUUCCGCAAUGGGCGAAAGCCUGACGGAGCAACGCCGCGUGAGUGAUGAAGGUCUUCGGAUCGUAAAACUCUGUUAUUAGGGAAGAACAUAUGUGUAAGUAACUGUGCACAUCUUGACGGUACCUAAUCAGAAAGCCACGGCUAACUACGUG